rnacentral:rRNA from 1 species
AUUGAACGCUGGCGCCAUGCCUUACACAUGCAAGUCGAACGGCAGCACGGGUGCUUGCCCCUGGUGGCGAGUGGCGAACGGGUGAGUAAUACAUCGGAACAUGUCCUGUAGUGGGGGAUAGCCCGGCGAAAGCCGGAUUAAUACCGCAUACGAUCUACGGAUGAAAGCGGGGGACCUUCGGGCCUCGCGCUAUAGGGUUGGCCGAUGGCUGAUUAGCUAGUUGGUGGGGUAAAGGCCUACCAAGGCGACGAUCAGUAGCUGGUCUGAGAGGACGACCAGUCACACUGGGACUGAGACACGGCCCAGACUCCUACGGGAGGCAGCAGUGGGGAAUUUUGGACAAUGGGCGAAAGCCUGAUCCAGCAAUGCCGCGUGUGUGAAGAAGGCCUUCGGGUUGUAAAGCACUUUUGUCCGGAAAGAAAUCCUUGGCCCUAAUACGGUCGGGGGAUGACGGUACCGGAAGAAUAAGCACCGGCUAACUACGUG